rnacentral:tRNA from 1 species
ACCUGGAUGGCUCAGUUGGUUAAGCAUCUGACUGCAGCUCAGAUCAUGAUCUCACAGUUUGUGGGUUCAAGCCCCACGUCAGGCC